CACACACACACGCACGCGCACACACACGCACACGCACGCGCACACACACGCUAGCAAGCACAUACAUCACGUAUACACACAGCACAUGUACACCAAAAUGGAAGAGGAAAAACAGUGUGGCUGAGGCCAGGUGCCCCAGCGCUAUUCUCCAUCAGCGCUAUCUCCUCCAUGAACCCUCAGGUCUCGACUUCCCCCAGUGACAACAUGAGGGCCUUGUUCAGUGGUGGUGAGCAGGAGUCAGCACUUUAGCAUUGCCCCCAAAAGGGCUCACACCUUAGUCCUGAGAAUGUGUGAAUGCCCUUCACAAGGGGGCUCGAGCUGAAGAUUCAGGUGACGAUGCAGAGAUGAGCCUGGGGAAUUCAGGGAAUCUAACACACCGGCAUGAAUGUGGAAGCAUGUUCCAGUGUCCCAGCUGAAAUCACAGGACUGAAUCUUCUUGAAGCCAGGAAAGAGGCCUCCUUCACCCAGGAUGUAGCUGGAACCUUUGGACCCAAGGUUCUCCCCGCAACCAGGAGGGAGAGUCACAAGUUCCCAGCCCUCAAAGGUCACCUUCUGGCUGUGAGCAUGGCCUGGAAAACCCUCAACUUCCUGAAUGGCUUCUGGUACUCCCUAAUCACAGGAAAGCUUGUCCUACACCUCAUAGCAUUGACUUCAGCAUGGCCUCCAUAGAGAGGGGGCCCUUUGCAAAG
rnacentral:lncRNA from 1 species